GACGAGGGGUCCUAGCGUUGUUCGGAAUCAUUGGGCGUAAAGCGUGUGUAGGUGGCCAUACAAGUCAGUUGUGAAAGCCCCGGGCUCAACCCGGGAAGUGCUUCUGAUACUGCAUGGCUUGAGUACUGGAGAGGAUAGUGGAAUUCCAGGUGUAGUGGUGAAAUACGUAGAUAUCUGGAGGAACACCGGUGGCGAAGGCGGCUAUCUGGCCAUGUACUGACGCUGAGACACGAAAGCGUGGGGAGCAAACAGGG
rnacentral:rRNA from 1 species